rnacentral:rRNA from 1 species
UGAUUAUAUAAAUUAUUUUUGUUUAUUUAGAUAUUUAUUUUUAUUAAAAUUAAUUUUUUGUUUUUGUAUAUGUUAUUGAUUUAAUUUUUUUUAUUAUAGUUUAUUUUUACUGUAUUGGUUAUUUUUUUUAAUUUGUAAAAGUGAAUUAUUUAUUGUACCUUGUGUAUCAGGAUUUAUUAAAUUAUAUUAUGUAUUUUUAUUUCCCGAUUUUAAAAGAUUUAAGUAAUUAUUUUAGUUAUUGUUUUAUAAUUAUUAGUAAUGGUUACUUGGUAGUGAUAUGUUAUUCGAUUUUAAUGGUAUCUGGUUUUUCAAGAAAUGAAUUUAAUUCAUAUAUUAUUAUUUUAUUUCUAUUUUUGUAGUUUUUAAUUUAUUAAUAUAAAUAUUAUAGGGGAUAAGCUCUUUAGUAUAAUUUUAUAAUUUUUUUUUAUAUUUAAUUCUUGUUGGUUUUAUAAUAACUAUCAUUUUAAUUUUGUUAAAAUUUUAUUUUUUUUUAUUUUUAUUUUUGUUGUUAAUUUAAGUUUUUAUUGAAAUUUUUUGUUUAAUUAUUAUUUAUUUAUAAUUAUGAUGAAAUUAGUAAUUAUUUUUUUUUGUUGUUUUAUUAAUUGUUAUACAAUUUUAAAAGGAACUAGGCAAAAUUUAUUGUUCUCGCAUGUUUAUCAAAAACAUCUCUUCUUGUUGUGAAUAUGAAGUAUAAUCUGCCCACUGAUAUAUAUUUGAAGGGCCGCGGUAUUUUGACCGUGCAAAGGUAGCAUAAUAAUUAGUCCUUUAAUUGUGGACUGGAAUGAAUGAUUGGACGAGGAACAUACUGUUUCUUAUUAUAUUAUUGAAUUUAUUAUUUAAGUUAAAAAACUUAAAUGUUUUUAUGGGACGAGAAGACCCUAUAGAGUUUAUACUUAUUAUUUAUUUUGUUUGUUUGAUAAUUUAUUUAUUAUUUAAUAAGUUUUGUUGGGGUGAUAGGAAGAAUUAAUUAACUCUUUUUUAAUUAAUACAUUUAUGUAUGUUAAGUUGAUCCAUUUUAUAUUGAUUAUAAGAUUAAAUUACCUUAGGGAUAACAGCGUAAUCUUUUUUGAGAGUUCUUAUCGAUAAAUGGGUUUGCGACCUCGAUGUUGGAUUAAGAUUUAAUUUGGGUGUAGAAUUUCAUAAGUUUAGGUCUGUUCGACCUUUAAAAUCUUACAUGAUCUGAGUUCAGACCGGCGUGAGCCAGGUUGGUUUCUAUCUAUAAUUAAUUUUAUAUCUUAGUACGAGAGGACCAGAUAUUUGAAAUAAUUUUUAUUUUGUGAUUUUUACUAAUUUAUU